rnacentral:misc_RNA from 1 species
AAUUUCUUAAAAAUAAAAGCCAUCACAAAAUCUAGCUUUUAUAUCUCAGGAAACUUAGAUUUCAUUUAUUAUAUAACCUUAUUAUGCUAUAUCUCAUAAAACACAACAUAACAUGUCCAUAACACAGUAAGGCUCAUCCUGCCUAAGAUGAGAACUGUUCAUCACACCAACAUCAUGCAUGGUUAAAGAAGUCCAUAAAGGUACACCUCCUCAAAUUCAUAGAAAAACCCAUUGAACCAUACAAAAUACAAAAAACAAAUAGCAGUUACUCAGCAUUUUCACUCUAACAGUUGUAUACAAAGAAUAUUAGCACUGAUAAGUGUUAUUAAAUCAUAACCACAAAAUAUUUCACCAGAAAGAAGUUGCUGCCAUGAAACAGAGAUGACAAAUCAGAUGUAAACAUACCUAACCUCUCCAGUAAAAGCACCA